GCCCGAAACUGGCAAAACUCCAAUUUUGCUCUAUUGAGUACGCCAAGUCCAUUUCUACAUCCAUUUCAUGCAAAAUUGACUCCGACUCAGUCCGACACUCUCCAGAUGUGUCGACUAGUCACUAAUACUGUAGCCAAUCCUAUCCAAACCUCAGGAACACUACAUCCUCCCCCACUACAAAAAGUUUCGUCCUCGAAACUUAAAUUCAUACCUCAAUCCGGAGUAUCAAACAGG
rnacentral:lncRNA from 1 species